CCCUCCUACAAAGGCAGGUCGUGGUUUCCUGACCUUGGACACGUAAGAAUUGGAGGCAAAAAGAUGUGGACUUGGAGAAAUCUGGAGCCUGCCUGCUCUCCUCAGGCUCAAGAUCAUCCUUUCCCACACAG
rnacentral:snoRNA from 1 species